rnacentral:rRNA from 1 species
CCUACGGGCGGCAGCAGUGAGGAAUAUUGGUCAAUGGCCGGAAGGCUGAACCAGCCAUGCCGCGUGAAGGUCAGUGCCCUAUGGGCGUUAAACUUCUGUUGUGCGGGAGCAAUAAUGGUCACGUGUGGCCAGACGAGAGUACCGUACGAAUGAGCAUCGGCUAACUCCGUGCAAGCAGCCGCGGUAAUACGAGGGGUGCGAGCGUUAUCCGGAUUUAUUGGGUUUACAGGGUGCGUAGGCGGUGAGGUAAGUCAGCGGAGAAAUUCCCCGGCGCAACGGGGUGAAGUGCUAUUGAUACUGGCUAGCUGGAAUGAGGAUGAAGUAGGAGGAAUGUGAGGUGUAGCGGUGAAAUGCAUAGAUAUAAGACAGAACACCGAAUGCGAAGGCAGCUUAC